rnacentral:rRNA from 1 species
GACGAACGCUGGCGGCGUGCUUAACACAUGCAAGUCGAACGGAAAGGCCCUGCUUUUGUGGGGUGCUCGAGUGGCGAACGGGUGAGUAACACGUGAGUAACCUGCCCUUGACUUUGGGAUAACUUCAGGAAACUGGGGCUAAUACCGGAUAGGAGCUCCUGCUGCAUGGUGGGGGUUGGAAAGUUUCGGCGGUUGGGGAUAGACUCGCGGCUUAUCAGCUUGUUGGUGGGGUAGUGGCUUACCAAGGCUUUGACGGGUAGCCGGCCUGAGAGGGUGACCGGCCACAUUGGGACUGAGAUACGGCCCAGACUCCUACGGGAGGCAGCAGUGGGGAAUAUUGCACAAUGGGCGGAAGCCUGAUGCAGCAACGCCGCGUGCGGGAUGACGGCCUUCAGGUUGUAAACCGCUUUCGCCUGUGACGAAGCGUGAGUGACGGUAAUGGGUAAAGAAGCACCGGCUAACUACGUG